rnacentral:SRP_RNA from 18 species
AGCUGUGACGGCCUUUGGCCGGAAGGGACAUUAGCAAUCCCGGCUUGGUGAGGCGCUCCCGCGUUCGAACCUGCGGCCGGGCAUGGUUGCGGAAAAGCGAGGUUGCCUAGCUCCUCGUGCGCCAUGAUACCACACUGGUCUUUCUGACGCGUGUCCUGCUACUUAUCGAUUUCUGCGGGUUUGCCGUCGAUGCUGACAUGGGAAACCUGUCGGUGGGGCGUGCAGUAAUGGCAGGGCGAAUGCCCGUCCGCUCAUACGCUGGAGGGGAGUUUCAUCCAGCACAGCGCGAGCGGCCCGUGGGGAGGCGAGCAGGAUGGCACGUGUUAGGCGCUUGCGCGGACCUAUCGUGGUAUUGGAGCAUUAUGUUCCGACCGACUUUU